CUACGGGGCGCACCAGUGGGGAAUAUUGCACAAUGGGCGCAAGCCUGAUGCAGCCAUGCCGCGUGUAUGAAGAAGGCCUUCGGGUUGUAAAGUACUUUCAGCGGGGAGGAAGGGAGCAAAGUUAAUACCUUUGCUCAUUGACGUUACCCGCAGAAGAAGCACCGGCUAACUCCGUGCCAGCAGCCGCGGUAAUACGGAGGGUGCAAGCGUUAAUCGGAAUUACUGGGUGUAAAGCGCACGCAGGCGGUUUGUUAAGUCAGAUGUGAAAUCCCCGGGCUCAACCUGGGAACUGCAUCUGAUACUGGCAAGCUUGAGUCUCGUAGAGGGGGGUAGAAUUCCAGGUGUAGCGGUGAAAUGCGUAGAGAUCUGGAGGAAUACCGGUGGCGAAGGCGGCCCCCUGGACGAAGACUGACGCUCAGGUGCGAAAGCGUGGGGAGCAAACAGGAUUAGAUACCCUCGUAGUC
rnacentral:rRNA from 1 species